GGAGAGAUGCUCGAGUGGUUGAUGAGGCACGCCUGGAAAGCGUGUAUACGCCAAAAGCGUAUCGCGGGUUCGAAUCCCGCUUUCUCCG
rnacentral:tRNA from 1 species